rnacentral:lncRNA from 1 species
CCUAAACAUGCAUCCGCGCCUGCGCAGCCGCGGGUCGCCCAGGGUUGGGAUGUUGGUGUCGGCUGGGGGCUGCUGUGAGGCGCUUGGUAGCACCCAGUCCUGAUACUCUCCAGUUACCCGGUAGGCGGGGCUCGGACACAAAGAAAAGAGAUCUUUGGGGGCUUGGAUGGAGGAACAGGAAAAGAGGAGCCAGGCUUUUUUGGAAAAUUGGCGGCAGCGGUGGCAUACGGGAAACUGAAAUCUUUAUCUAAUCUCAUCCUUUGUAUAUUCGUCUUGGAUUUGCUGAAGAAAAUUAAAAGGCCAGGCCUACCACUCCUAUGGCACAGUAUUGAUGAGAGACAUCAGUGGAGCUCCCCACCUCCACCCCAGGCUUGGAACUUAGGGAAUGACUGGUUUUUGUCAUUUCACACAACAGCUGAAGGAUUCUGUCCCCACCUCGUCCUCUGUGAAGUCUGCUGGACGUACCUGCCAGAAUCUUCUGAAGAUGACGUUUGCUGAACACUGACCCACAGGGGUUUGAUGGAUUAUUGACAAUGAGACAAGCUGUCUUUUCAUCAAUUAGAUAUUCCAGUUGUUUCAGGUCAAUUUCCCAAGAUUUCUCUGGCUGGAGAGAAAGAAAGGAUGAGACUAAGAUGAUUCUGAAACAUUUAGGGGGAAUCCUCACUUAUCUCAAGGGUCCAAUGUAAGCAAUAAAGUCUGUCUCUGGCUUCAACCACCACUUUGAGACCUUCCUCUGCUGAAGUAAUGUUCAUAUAUUUUUUACAGAGCUUCUCCCACCAACGUUG